rnacentral:rRNA from 1 species
GAUGAACGCUGGCGGCGUGCUUAACUCAUGCAAGUCGAGCGAGUGAGUUCUUCGGAACGAUCUAGCGGCGGACGGGUGAGUAACACGUGGGCAACCUGCCUCAUAGAGGGGAAUAGCCUCCCGAAAGGGAGAUUAAUACCGCAUAAAAUUAUCGAGUGGCAUCACAUGAUAAUCAAAGGAGUAAUCCGCUAUGAGAUGGGCCCGCGGCGCAUUAGCUAGUUGGUGAGGUAACGGCUCACCAAGGCGACGAUGCGUAGCCGACCUGAGAGGGUGAUCGGCCACAUUGGGACUGAGACACGGCCCAGACUCCUACGGGAGGCAGCAGUGGGGAAUAUUGCACAAUGGGGGAAACCCUGAUGCAGCAACGCCGCGUGAGUGAUGAAGGUCUUCGGAUUGUAAAGCCCUGUCUUUGGGGACGAUAAUGACGGUACCCAAGGAGGAAGCCACGGCUAACUACGUGCCAGCAGCCGCGGUAA